CCUACGGGAGGCUGCAGUGGGGAAUAUUGGACAAUGGGGGGAACCCUGAUCCAGCCAUGCCGCGUGUGUGAAGAAGGCCCUCGGGUUGUAAAGCACUUUCAGUGAGGAAGAACGCCUGGUGGUUAAUACCCAUCAGGAAAGACAUCACUCACAGAAGAAGCACCGGCUAACUCCGUGCCAGCAGCCGCGGUAAUACGGAGGGUGCGAGCGUUAAUCGGAAUUACUGGGCGUAAAGCGCGCGUAGGUGGCUUGAUAAGCCGGUUGUGAAAGCCCCGGGCUCAACCUGGGAACGGCAUCCGGAACUGUCAAGCUAGAGUGCAGGAGAGGAAGGUAGAAUUCCCGGUGUAGCGGUGAAAUGCGUAGAGAUCGGGAGGAAUACCAGUGGCGAAGGCGGCCUUCUGGACUGACACUGACACUGAGGUGCGAAAGCGUGGGUAGCAAACAGGAUUAGAUACCCGUGUAGUC
rnacentral:rRNA from 1 species